rnacentral:lncRNA from 1 species
CUCAAUUAUUCUUCUUCUCUUUUUUCCUUUUUAUUUAUUUAUUUAUUUUUAUACAUUUUAUUGCCUUUUCUGCUUGAUGAAAACAUCUGCUAUAAUGACAAAAAUAAAAAAAGAAUUAAAAAAAUAAAUUGAGUCGAGAUUUAAUAUCAAUUUUGGGGUUGACUUGAUUGUUCUUUAAGUUGGUGCUCAUUUGGUUUCAUUUUGUUUAACGUCAUUGGGGUGGUUUUUGCUGAUGGGGUACAACAGAUCAAGAAAAUUCCUAAUCAAGCUCUUGCUCUGUCCAAUUUUCCAUUUCAACUAUGCAUGAAAUGCAGUUUAUUAUUUAUUUGAAUUCAUUGGAGUACAAUGUCAAUGGGGCUUUGUGAGGUGAGACUUGGUAUUAGUGAGUGUAUUCAAAAUUACGAGGGAAUUGUGAGUGAGUGGAUUUAUAGGCCGAUAUGGUCUUGAUUUGUUCACCUGUUGCAUAAUCCCAGAAACAUUACAACAGUCAUUUUUAAUUCUUUAUUCAAAAUUUUUGUGCAUUAGUCUUCUAAAUAAAUUCCCAGUCAUUAACAGAUGUCAAAAAGCAUAAAGAAGUCAUUAAGUUGGAACAUUGGAUUUACUUUUUUAUAGAAUUUUGGAGUUAUAACCUAUCUUAUUGUGCUCUACUUCUCUUCCACUGCAUUCUUUGAUGCAUUCUUUAUUGAUCUUGUGAUGCUUUUAUUUUGCUACAUUCGACAGGUUGGGCUAUCUGCUUCCAACCCAAAUGCAUCUCUUCAAGUAUUGGACCAUCCAAUUCUAAAUCUUAUCGAUUACAUGGUAAAUUGCUUCUAUCAAGUUUGCCAACCUUUUCUUCCCUAGUUUUGUGUUCUCAUAUAGUUGAUGCAAAAACAGCUGGUCGAGAUUCUUCCUUCAGCACUAGUGCUGUACAUCUUGCGCAAGCUGCCUCCCAAAAUUAUGGUAUGAAGAAGAUGAUGCAUUACUGUAAUUUCUCGUGUAAUGUCAACAAAGCACAGCAGAAGAUAUGAUGAAGUUUAGUUGAUCAAAGAUGCUAGCAUAUUGGGUUCCAAAAUCGAUAAGUCUUUGGACCGUUGCCUAAAAUUUCCACCAAAAAAAUAUAUAAACAUAUAUUGAAGGUGAAGGAGAUAGGAACGGUGAAGAAGAGUAGAUUAUAAGAACCACUAAUAUACGUAAAUUUGUAUUUUUGCUGUAGAGAGAGAAGAUGUUCACAAAAAGAGAAGAUCGGCAACACAGAUUCUAGAAAAGGAUUAUUCUGUUCGUCUCGGGAUUAAAUCCUGGGAAUGCAUCCAGGGCUAAGGUGGCCCGAACUGGAUCAAAUCCCUGUCCCCUUCCCCUGUAUUCGUAGCAGAGCCCUUCUAGAAAAUUGUGUUGCACUUUCAAUUUUCAUUUUAGGGUUUGUUAAUGAUUAAUGUGUGUUUUGGGCCUUUUGACCCAUUAAUGUUAAAUAAAUAUAUUUAUUUAUUAUUUUAAUUCCGAGUCGACUCUGGUUCAACCUCGAUUCAACCAUUUGACCUUUUAACUUUUUCGGGUCAAUGAUUUGAUCGAUUUUCAAAACAUUGAUAUUAAUUGAUGAGAGGC